AUAUAUAUAUACACAUUUUGGUUUGUGGGAGAGACAUCGCUCUGAAUGAAUAGUCCGGAAGUCGUAUGCAGUUUCUAUUAGAUGCACUUAGAUGCAUCAAAAGUAGGCAGACUAGGAUUGAUAUUUUGUUUCACUGUUUGGGGAUAGUUCAAUAAAAAUAAAAAAGCUUCUAAAGAGCAGUUCCUCAAGAGGACACCGACGAUGCUGCCAAAUGGGCUGUUGUAACAUUUAUCAGUUGAUUAAGUGUGCAUGGAGGAAUUAAAAGGGACACAACGGCAAGACUCAUAACCCUUGCUUUUUUAACUAGAAAUAAAAGUGUUGGUUCAUUCUUUCUGGGAUACAGGCUACAUGUGUAGUACACAACUAUUUGUGCUGGCAUUAAAGAUUGGCUUUUUUGUGAAUAUAAACUCCCUCAUUAGAGAGAGAGAGCGGCGCAUCCUCUACUCUAAGAGAGACAAACCGAGUGGCGUAUGUUAUAUUAAACUACAAUACAGCUUCAUUACAACCACGUCAAAUCCUGCCACUACAUGAGGCAUAUAAAGCAAAACUAAUGCCACUGAAUGAUUCAGUCACUAACUGUGUUUCCAUUCAUCUGUGUGCAAAACCUGCACGUAUCGUGUCAAUGGAAAAUUUGAUAAAACUUGCUCAAGAAGUGUGUUUUUUCUUUGUCGAAAAAGAUUUCAUGAGAAAUGUGGAUUGUGGAAACUGAUCAGUCGUUCUCAUUCUGGGCUUCUUCUCAAAGCUCAUCUUCGGCCCACUCGGCCAAAAAAUUGGAUUUAUGGAAGUCUUCUCUUCAUUUUUCUAUCAUUCUAUGGAUGGAAAUAUAUCUGGUUCGUGACCUCUACCUCUCCACACCAAUGCAAAUAACUGAAUCCAAGUUUAUUCUCUCCAAACAAGUUGAUGGAAACACAAUUUUUUGUUAAUUUUUUUAACUGUUGUGUCAUUUCACAUGAUACACAAUGGUAACACGGCAAAUUACCAAUAGCAAACCAUAAGAAUAUGGUGCAGCAGGCAGAUUAGUUAGCAUUACAAUGAGUAAUGAUUUAAUGGAUGUUAUAAUGCAGUGUGACCAGCUCUGUGGCUGAGGACGUAUUCUUUAAGAGAAAUCCUCGCUGGCUCCCUAAACAAAGUGUGAUAGGAAGACACGUUGAGGGGGGACCUGUAGCUAAUGUUCGCCAAACACUGCCGCUCGGUACCGGCAGGAGCCACAAUGAGAACGCAGUCGCGAUAAUGAGAAAAGUGAUACAAAGGCUUCAUAUAAGGGGAAAAAAAUAUGACAUAUGACAACAUAACUAUGAUUUAACAUUCAGGAUGAUUGAGCUGCUGAAACAGAAACCCUCUGACUAAAUAUUGAAGUUAUUUGAUAAAAGCUAAGAAGGAGACACCUUACAGAAGCCUUUAGCGGAUCUCUGACGGUAAGCGAGAGGCCAGUUGUCACCUUAAGGGCUGAUUGGGAGGCCUACAGCGAUCCGGCGCCAUGCACAAUGGUGUAAGGUAGACGGCGCUGAUCGUAUUAGAAGCGAACGUACCAACGCAACACAGCAUCCUGCUCAUUAGGCCGUUUCCUCUGUGCUUCUCCGUGUCUGUGUGGAGAGGCGUGCGUGUGUAUUGGCGUCAUGCCCAGCUGAAUUCUGUUUGUUUCACCCUGCCGCUCCAAGCCCCGAAACAUCAGGGUGAUUACCGUCAGCGCUUGUGUGUCAUGGCCCGUCACACUUUUGACAGUUACGAAGAGUGGAAGGAAGUUGUGCCGUGUGUGUGUGUGUGAGUCCUCCCAGCGCCUGUGCUGUUUGCUGAAAAACUCCUUGGAAUAAUUAUCCUGGUAUUCAUCUGCUUUCGUGAGUUUUGGUGUAGGAUAGCGCGCUUCAUGCGGCGGGCCUUCAGGUACCUCAGUGCUGUCAGUUCUGGACAUGUCAGGUGUUGCAUGUGAGUUUUUCCGUUUGCAUGAUGUCUCUGGUGAGGUUGUGACAGGAGAUAUAAGUAUGUUAUCUACAAUAAGUGUGUUUUAUGUAACUGUAGUUAUAAAGUAUAUCAACCUACGGUAGAAAUCGUUGAAUCGCUCCCCCCGGGACAUGAACAGUCGUGUCCUGAGUCCAGAGUGAGCUACUUUGAUCCAACCUUGUAGUCUCUCUUACAGCAUCCGUUGCUCUGUCUUAUAAUGGCGGUAGGGUCCUUCCUAAAGCCACCCAGUUGUAUUUUUUUAGUUCAAGAUAUUAUCUUUUUUUUUUAGUGUGUGAGUAAAGCUAAGGUAAGAAAUACAAUCUUAGUAUCAGGGGAUCGUGUUUUAAAAACUAUAUUCCAUGCCUGCUAACAGAUGCCCAUAAAUCCUACACAAUGCUCCUUUAAUUAUUACAUUACCAUGAUGAGGAAUCACAUGCUGAGUGGUAACAGCAUAAUGGGCCUGUUAUAGUCCUACAACCGUGUUGCUGAUGAGCCAGGUGAUAAAGCAGCUGCUGCCCAUGUGUCUGACUCUGUGUUGCAACGUGACCACAGAUAAGGAGCGGAAUCGAAAGAACGCUCAGACAUUUUGCGAAACAUGCUUGUUUUUCUUUAGCGAGGCAGAUGAGGAGAUAAGUGACUGUCGACAACAGUAUUAGCAUUGUGGAGCUAGCUUCGUUUAGCAUAGAGGACUGCAUUGGAGAGGAACUGUGUGGGCAUUACUCUGGUUUGGGCAAAUAUUCUUUAAGUUGCGAGUGGUUUCGCUAGGAAUCAGGAUCAGGAAUCAGGAAACAUUUAUUGCCAAAAUGUGUCAAACAUACAAGGAAUUUGUCUUGGCGGUUGGUGCGCGACAGUAGACACAAAACAGACAAUAGACAACAAGACAGCAGUGCACAAGUAAUAAAAUAAAAUAAAAU
ensembl:lncRNA